UUUUAUUAAAUAUAAGGAAUAUAAUAAUUUUAAAAAAUAAAUUUUAUAUUAUAAUUUAAGAAAUUAUAAAUUACUAGAAUAGUAAAUUUUAUUGAUAUUCAAAGAUUAAAAUAUAUAUAAUUAAAAUUUAAUUUACUUUCCAUUUAACUAUAUAUAUUCUAUAAAUCUAAUUUUUUUAUGUUUAUAACUCUAUCAUUUCUCUUAAAUUAAUAUAUAAAUCAAAUCUAUAAUAAUUU
rnacentral:tRNA from 1 species